GGUUUGAUGGUGUAGUUGGUUAUUGUAUCUGUCUAACACACAGAAGGUCCCCAGUUUGAGCCUGGGUUGAAUCA